AUAUCAAUAAGCGGAGGAAAAGAAACUAACAAGGAUUCCCUCAGUAACGGCGAGUGAAGUGGGAAGAGCUCAAAUUUGUAAUCUGGCACUUUCAGUGUCCGAGUUGUAAUCUCGAGAAGUGUUUUCCGUGCUAGACCGUAUUUAAGUCUGUUGGUAUACAGCGUCAUAGUGGUGAGAACCCAGUAUAUGUUACGGAUGCCUAGUACUUUGUGAUACACUUUCAAAGAGUCGAGUUGUUUGGGAAUGCAGCUCAAAAUGGGUGGUAAAUUCCAUCUAAAGCUAAAUAUUGGCGAGAGACCGAUAGCGAACAAGUACCGUGAGGGAAAGAUGAAAAGCACUUUGGAAAGAGAGUUAACAGUAC
rnacentral:rRNA from 1 species